GAGUCAGUUGGCUGUUUUGUGAGGCAGAAAGGGUCAGUGCUCUGAGGAGCUGCCCAUGAGGAACACCAAGAAGGUAUGGAACUUUUGUGAUAGGGCGACAACAGUACGGAACCCCUGUGAUAGGAUGGCAGCGAGUAUUGGAUAUCUACUGCCGUUUUACCAUUGAGACCUAUUUAUAUCCACAUCUAGCCAGAUUAGUUUUCUAAGCUGGACUGUGGUGCAGGAUUAUUCAUGCUUCAUUGCCUCCAGCUUUACUAGUCCAUCACCUGCCGCUUAGCAACGUGAGCAUUACAAGUCCCAUUCUGGGAGGAGUAAUCUUGCACAGGAAAGGAUGAAACCAGUUUGGGUCCCAUGGCAAGGGCUGGCUUCUGCUAUCACAGGUGCAGCAAGUCAAGAUAAGGAUUGUUUCUCGUUCUUUCCUCUGGUCUUCUCACAGAAUUUUCCCCAGAACAAUGCCUGGAAAAGUUGUUUCUCUAUGUGGCCAGAGAGCUGCUGCUACACUCAAGCCCUGUGGUUUUUAGUGUGACCUCCUGGAAAAUGAUGGUACCACUCAGUCUCUCCUUCUUAACUACAUCUUUUGACUGAUAUUUCCUUUCUACCUGUGCAUGUUGAAAGGACAGGAAGUUCUUGGAAUUUUUGUAGUUUUUUUCACUGAAAGCAGGUGGGGCUGAAUGUAUAGAAUGGAAUCCCCAUGUUCUGCACAUCUCAGUCUAAGAGGAUACCAUCCAUGCCCUUGGGACAUGGGGCCAGCAGGCACUACUCAGUACAGCAUGAGGGACCUGGCAGGCAGGGAGCUUCUGCUGGCAGUGCUUUCAGAGGACUGUGGGACAAGCUUUCCACUGGCUCUUCAGGGACAGUCUCUGGCCUUCAGGCUUUCUUUUUGCUCAUAUUUUGUUUAUACCCUUUAUAUGGUUUAUCAACUUUUUCCUUGAAGUCAUAAAAUCCCUGAAAUCAAAUUGAUUGAGCUUUUCCUGGUUAAUAAGUUAUCAGGCAAUGAAGCCAACAGAAGGGGGAAACAUUUGGAGCAGCAUCAUCAUCAUAUAUAUAUCCUUAAACAUCAUAAACUACAUAAGUCACUGUUGUACAUUAAGAAGCAAUUGUCAGGAAGGUGCUAUGGGACAGUAUCUGCUGUCCUUCAAUGACUACUGGAUUAAAUGUACUCAAUUUAGAGCUAAAAUGUCAGGCUAGAGCCUUCUUUCCAUUCAUGCCUCACUGAUGAGGUGCAGCCUGAGAUUAUGUGUAGCAGAUGGCUCGAUGUUGACUAACGGCACAAUGCCUCAGUGGCACAUUUCCUUUUGCACUGGGUAGCACAUUAGUGGCAGGAGACAUUGGCAAUGCACCUUUCAUCUCCUGAGCUGCCUCAGAGAUUUGCUGGGGGAAUUGCCUUAUGUUACUAAUCUGUUGCUGUCCAUGUAAACCCUGCUGCAGGAUGAUGGCAGCACAUCAUGCUCAUUUUGGAAGGGGAGGAGGGCAGAAAUAGUGCUGAAAACAUGGAGUUAAGUGUGUGUGAAGAACAGUGAACCUUCUGAGCCAUUCCGUUAUCAUUGGACCUCAUGAUAGGAUAUUUGAUUUCAGUUUCUGGAGCGAAAUGAAUGUCAAAUUGCCAAUUAGCCAUUGCAGAAUAAUUCUGAGCUCCAACAUGUUUGUAAUUUAGCUUCUGUGUGUUUCUAUUCACAUUGCCUGAGCUGUCCAUGCUAAGAGCUGCUUCCCAUAAGCCUCCUUUGUUCACAUGCACCUACAACACUUGUACAGCUGGAUACACAGGAUCCUCACCCUGAUCCCACUCUGCCAUCACUGCUGAGCCUGCUGGUGCCCUGUGAACAACAGCAUCUUCCUUUUCCUGCUGAAUUCAAAUUCAGUGCAAUAAACCCCUACUUUAGCCUCUUUUGAUUAAAAAACAACAAACAUAGUAUAUCUGGAUGUAAUGUGGAUAUUAAUGGCAGCUUCAUUGAUGUGCUGUCACUUCUGAAAUCACCUGCAUUUAUUGAGUGCAGAGGAUGCCUCUGACUACAGCACCUCAGGCCUGAAGGUGGUGGCCCUUGUGACACUCCUCUGAGAGGAGAGUCCUUGUGUGAAGGCAAGCUGCUCUGGAAGAAGGCAAAACAAUUACAGGAGUACAUAUGAAGCUGUGUAGCAAGCUUCUAUUCCA